rnacentral:lncRNA from 1 species
UAAGUGCCCUACUAAAGUGGUCUUGCUGAGGGUAAGAAGUAAAAAAACCUGUCCCUUGAUUCUGUGUCACCUGUCCACCUGUCUUUACAGGCGUUCACAAAGUCCUACUGGUACCCUAUAAAAUACUGACGGUAUGGGCUGGAGCAGUGGCUCCGUGGUUCAGGGCCUGGGGUGCUCCUGCAGAGGACCCGAGCUUGAUUCCCGCACCCACAUGGUGGCCCACUGCUGACUAUAACUCCAGUUCCUGGGGAUUUACCCUCCUCUGGCCUCUUGAGGGCACCAGGCACUCAAAUGGUACACAGACAUACAUUCAGGCAACGCCCAUACAUUAAAAUAAAUAAGUAAUUAAUUUUUGGAAAGAAUACUGAAAUGAUACUUUUGCAAGUAAUACCUUUGGGUAGAUCCUUACAGACGGGUUCUAGGUUAUCCUCCCAGUAAAGUAUUACAUUGAAACUGCAGUGACUAAUUAGUUAAAAUGGUUAGAGAUUUCUGAAGCACUCUCUUAGGUCUUCGGUGCACAGAUACUCUUGUAUCUUUUCAGAGCUUCCUGACUGUUUACAGAAAUUCUAGCUUAAGUACUUUAGAGGCAGAAUUUUCCAUUCUGUCUUUUGGGAGUAGAACAUAUUCCACUUCUAGGAUGGGGCUCAGUGUUGGAGCACUUCCCAGUAUGUGCAAGGUUCUAGUUCUGGUAGGGUAGAAGGGAGAGACAUUUGCCUUUAUAAAAGAAAAUGUUAUUUCUGAAGACAUUUGUAAAUUAUGCUUGUAUUUGUUUCUCUGUAUAUAGAACAUGGUCGGUGCAGGAGAGGUCGAUGAAGACUUGGAAGUUGAAACCAAGGAAGAAUGUGAAAAAUAUGGCAAAGUUGGGAAAUGUGUGAUAUUUGAGAUUCCUGGUGCCCCUGAUGAUGAAGCAGUACGGAUAUUUCUAGAAUUUGAGAGAGUCGAAUCGGCAAUUAAAGCUGUUGUCGAUCUGAAUGGGAGGUAUUUUGGUGGACGGGU